AUUGAACGCUGGCGGCAGGCCUAACACAUGCAAGUCGAGCGAGCGGCGGACGGGUGAGUAAUGUCUGGGGAUCUGCCUGAUGGAGGGGGAUAACUACUGGAAACGGUAGCUAAUACCGCAUACCAUCAGAUGUACCCAUAUGGGAUUAGCUUGUAGGUGUGGUAACGGCUCACCUAGGCGACGAUCCCUAGCUGGUCUGAGAGGAUGAUCAGCCACACUGGGAGUGAGAAACGGACCAGACUCCUACGGGAGGCAGCAGUGGGGAAUAUUGCACAAUGGGCGCAAGCCUGAUGCAGCCAUGCCGCGUGUAUGAAGAAGGCCUUAGGGUUGUAAAGUACUUUCAGUGGGGAGGCGUUACCGGCAGAAGAAGCACCGGCUAACUCCGUGCCAGCAGCCGCGGUAAUUC
rnacentral:rRNA from 1 species